rnacentral:lncRNA from 1 species
UAGGAAAAAUAGAAGAAUUACUAAUCUUAUAUAUGAAAUUAAAAUGUCAUUUGGUUACUUGUCUUCAUAGGUUGAUUUUGAAAAAAUCUGUGGCAGUAAAUAUGGAAUAAAACGUUUUAAAGUCAAAUGUAUUUACUUAAAUCAAGGACUCCAUUAGUUGUUUUGUGAUUUUUAUUAACCUUCAAUUUUUCGUAUAAGUGAUUAGUGUGAUA